CAUCAAAUUCGCCCCAAUUCUCUCUCCACAUCCAGAGCUCUCUCCCCAGGUUGGAAGGUCCUUCCCCAGACACCUAAAGAGAUGGGGGAAGGAGAAUCAAUUUGGAGAGCUAAGUUUGCCUGACAUUUUGGAGCACACAUUUACCCAGGACCCCAAGUUCCUUGUAGCUGCUAAAUGCUGUACUAGUUCUAAAAUGUAAAUUAGCUUCAAGGCAAGUGGAGAGAAGCCUUAGACUAUUCUGAGAUAUUUGUUCAUUCAUUUCUUUGCUUUGAGAAAGAAUCCUGCCAACGUGAUAGGAAAGAUAUCUCUGGGCCACAUUAUGGCUUCUGGCAGCAACUCUCAUCCUUAGUGCCUAGAUCUGGAGCCCCCACCAACCAUUUGUCCCCAAGUUACAUUUCCUUAGUCCAGGCCUAUUCCACCAUUUCAUCUUCUUUCUCCCUUCCUCGCUGAGGGGCAGAGGCCGCCUUUCUUUUGCCCAAGCUGAGAGGGAGAAUUCCUGAUCCCUAGGAAAAAUGCUGUCUCCUCUCCCAAGGAACUUUGUGUAGUUUAGGAAUUGCAUUUUGUAAAAUCAAAUUGCCCGUUGCAA
rnacentral:antisense_RNA from 1 species